rnacentral:rRNA from 1 species
AUGCGGAGGGUGCAAGCGUUACUCGGAAUCACUGGGCGUAAAGCGCGCGCAGGCGGCUUGAUAAGUUGGAUGUGAAAGCCUACGGCUCAACCGUAGAACUGCAUCCAAAACUGUCAAGCUAGAGUCUGGGAGGGGAAGAUGGAAUUAGUUGUGUAGGGGUAAAAUCCGUAGAGAUAACUAGGAAUACCAAAAGCGAAGGCGAUCUUCUGGAACGGUACUGACGCUGAGGCGCGAAAGCGUGGGGAGCAAACAGGAUUAGAAACCCUAGUAGUCC